rnacentral:pre_miRNA from 1 species
UCUACUUGCGCCGUGGAUAUUGUGAUAACAAAGGAUGUCCAUAGCACACGUGGAUG